UUGCUCCCCUGGUGCUUACCCCCAACCUGGCUUCUCCCCUACAGGGCCAGGGUAGGAAGAGGUCACUCCUCACUACAGGGAGAAGCCACUAGUCCACAGGACGCAUCUGUGCAAACUAGAAACAGAGCGCCCCCUCUUCUGGCAGACACAGGCCCUGCCAGGGCGGAGGCAGGGGGCGGAACUUGGACACAGCCCGACCCACCCUCCACUACAGCCCGAUCACAGGAAGACAUGACAGAGGUCCCCCCAGGGGGAAACAAGGUUAGUCCCAGCUGCAGCAUUGAGGGUGGAUGCGGAGGAGACCCAGAACAGGAGGAGGAAGGGUAUUAGGAGUCAAGGGCUGCCCUGAGAAGGUGGUGGGACGCUCUCUCCCUCCCUGACCACCCACACCCACGUCUGGUUGGCUGAGUUGGGGGGGGGGGCGCAGAAAAAGAGGGGAGGGGAAGGGCUGGAAAGUCACCUGAGUCAGAGAGAACAGGGGCCCCGGCGGGGAGGGGGCGCGCAGGAGAGGAAUGGAACCCAAGUGCCUCCAAGCUUGAUGCAGGGCACACAUGCACACUUGCACGCCUGUGACUGCGCUGGUCAGGGCACACACACACACACACACUUGCACACCCACGACUGCGCUGGCGCAGGGCACACACGCACACACCUGCACACCCGUGACUGGCCAGGUGAAACCACAAGAGGGCAUCCCACCCCUGGAGCACUGGAGGCCAUCUGGCCGCCCCGCCCCAGCCGGACCCCCACCCUCCACUGAGGGCGCCAGCACGCUGAUGGACAGACCCUGUCAGGUGAAGCGCUGGGAGAGGGGGCUGAGUGGGGGUCGCCUAUGGCAAGCUCUUUUGUGCUGUCAUUCACCCCCCCAUUCACCUGGUCAGGGUUUCUAUACAGAAGUUUGCAAGACCUGUGCGCGCAGUCAUGAGGGCACGAGGGACAGUGCACACGCCUGUGAGGCCAGGUGCGCGUGUGACUGGCUUUCACAGGCCAGGUGGGGUGGGGUGGGCUGGGGAGUAGCUCUCAGCGGAAGGGGCUUAUUAGCUGGCAACCACCCGACCUGGGGAAGGGAGAGACCUUUCUGGGUUGUGCCCAGCCAUCUCCAACCCUUCCCGGCGCCCCUAACCUCUCAGACCCCGUAG
rnacentral:lncRNA from 1 species